rnacentral:rRNA from 1 species
CUAUACAUGCAAGUCGAGCGGACAGAAGGGAGCUUGCUCCCGGAUGUUAGCGGCGGACGGGUGAGUAACACGUGGGUAACCUGCCUGUAAGACUGGGAUAACUCCGGGAAACCGGAGCUAAUACCGGAUAGUUCCUUGAACCGCAUGGUUCAAGGAUGAAAGACGGUUUCGGCUGUCACUUACAGAUGGACCCGCGGCGCAUUAGCUAGUUGGUGAGGUAACGGCUCACCAAGGCGACGAUGCGUAGCCGACCUGAGAGGGUGAUCGGCCACACUGGGACUGAGACACGGCCCAGACUCCUACGGGAGGCAGCAGUAGGGAAUCUUCCGCAAUGGACGAAAGUCUGACGGAGCAACGCCGCGUGAGUGAUGAAGGUUUUCGGAUCGUAAAGCUCUGUUGUUAGGGAAGAACAAGUGCAAGAGUAACUGCUUGCACCUUGACGGUACCUAACCAGAAAGCCACGGCUAACUACGUGCCAGCAGCCGCGGUAAUACGUAGGUGGCAAGCGUUGUCCGGAAUUAUUGGGCGUAAAGGGCUCGCAGGCGGUUUCUUAAGUCUGAUGUGAAAGCCCCCGGCUCAACCGGGGAGGGUCAUUGGAAACUGGGAAACUUGAGUGCAGAAGAGGAGAGUGGAAUUCCACGUGUAGCGGUGAAAUGCGUAGAGAUGUGGAGGAACACCAGUGGCGAAGGCGACUCUCUGGUCUGUAACUGACGCUGAGGAGCGAAAGCGUGGGGAGCGAACAGGAUUAGAUACCCUGGUAGUCCACGCCGUAAACGAUGAGUGCUAAGUGUUAGGGGGUUUCCGCCCCUUAGUGCUGCAGCUAACGCAUUAAGCACUCCGCCUGGGGAGUACGGUCGCAAGACUGAAACUCAAAGGAAUUGACGGGGGCCCGCACAAGCGGUGGAGCAUGUGGUUUAAUUCGAAGCAACGCGAAGAACCUUACCAGGUCUUGACAUCCUCUGACAACCCUAGAGAUAGGGCUUUCCCUUCGGGGACAGAGUGACAGGUGGUGCAUGGUUGUCGUCAGCUCGUGUCGUGAGAUGUUGGGUUAAGUCCCGCAACGAGCGCAACCCUUGAUCUUAGUUGCCAGCAUUCAGUUGGG